UAGGGAAUCUUCCACAAUGGGCGCAAGCCUGAUGGAGCAACACCGCGUGAGUGAAGAAGGGUUUCGGCUCGUAAAGCUCUGUUGUUAAAGAAGAACACGUAUGAGAGUAACUGUUCAUACGUUGACGGUAUUUAACCAGAAAGUCACGGCUAACUACGUGCCAGCAGCCGCGGUAAUACGUAGGUGGCAAGCGUUAUCCGGAUUUAUUGGGCGUAAAGAGAGUGCAGGCGGUUUUCUAAGUCUGAUGUGA
rnacentral:rRNA from 1 species